rnacentral:tRNA from 1 species
GCGGAAAUGACUCAACGGUAGAGUGCCACCUUGCCAAGGGGGAGGCGGCGGGGUCGAAUCCCGUGUUCCGCUCCA